rnacentral:rRNA from 1 species
GUAGGGAAUUUUGCGCAAUGGACGAAAGUCUGACGCAGCAACGCCGCGUGAGUGAUGACGGUCUUCGGAUUGUAAAGCUCUGUUGAGUGGAAAGAAAAGUUCCGUUUUUAACAAAAACGGGGCCUGACGGUACCGCUCGAGGAAGCCCCGGCUAACUACGUGCCAGCAGCCGCGGUAAUACGUAGGGGGCAAGCGUUGUUCGGAAUUACUGGGCGUAAAGGGAGCGUAGGCGGAAUCGUAAGUUAGAAGUUUAAUUCACAGGCUUAACCUGUGGCUUGCUUUUAAUACUGCGGUUCUUGAGUAUGGAAGAGGGAGAUGGAAUUCCAGGUGUAGCGGUGGAAUGCGUAGAUAUCUGGAAGAACACCAGCAGCGAAGGCGGUCUCCUGGUCCUCUACUGACGCUGAGGCUCGAAAGUUAGGGGAGCAAACAGGAUUAGAAACCCGUGUAGUCC